UUCGAUGAUAUUGAGCAGAAAAGAAAAGAGGUGAGACUGUUCGUUAAUGUAGAAACCGAACUGCAGAGAAACGGACGGUGGAGAUCGAUUCCCUUUACUCAUCCAGCGACUAUGGAUACAGUUGUGAUGGAUACGGAUCUGAAGAACAAAAUCAAAUCAGAUCUGGAAAACUUUCUGAAGUCCAAACAGUAUUAUCAUCGAUUAGGUCGCGUUUGGAAGAGAAGCUACUUACUAUACGGACCUUCCGGCACUGGAAAAUCGACAUUCAUCGCGGCCAUAGCCAAAUUCCUUCACUACGAUGUAUACGAAUUCGAUUUAAACAAAAUCGCCGAUGAUUCAGAUCUAAAAUUCCUU
rnacentral:lncRNA from 1 species